GAUGAACGCUGGCGGCGUGCCUAAUACAUGCAAGUCGAGCGAACAGACGAGGAGCUUGCUCCUCUGAUGUUAGCGGCGGACGGGUGAGUAACACGUGGAUAACCUACCUAUAAGACUGGGAUAACUUCGGGAAACCGGAGCUAAUACCGGAUAACAUGUUGAACCGCAUGGUUCAACAGUGAAAGACGGUCUUGCUGUCACUUAUAGAUGGAUCCGCGCCGCAUUAGCUAGUUGGUAAGGUAACGGCUUACCAAGGCAACGAUGCGUAGCCGACCUGAGAGGGUGAUCGGCCACACUGGAACUGAGACACGGUCCAGACUCCUACGGGAGGCAGCAGUAGGGAAUCUUCCGCAAUGGGCGAAAGCCUGACGGAGCAACGCCGCGUGAGUGAAGAAGGUCUUCGGAUCGUAAAACUCUGUUAUUAGGGAAGAACAAAUGAGUAAGUAACUAUGCACGUCUUGACGGUACCUAAUCAGAAAGCCACGGCUAACUACGUG
rnacentral:rRNA from 1 species